rnacentral:lncRNA from 1 species
UAUAGGGUCUGGAAAUCUCCGACAAGACUUUGGUUUAGGGUUUAGUAACAUAUGUUAUAAUAUUGUUUGUAUUUAUGGUUUGAUUUUAGAAUCUUAACUUUUUUUAAAAAAAAAUUGAGCUACAUGUGUUUAGUUUUGUGUAUUAAACGCUAUAUAAGUUUAUUUAAGUUUAAUGAAUUGUUUUUGGCUAUUUAGUUACUUAUUUGAUUAGGUUAUGGUUUGGAAAACUUCUAGACGACUUCUCUGGCAGAUUUCCAGGAGACUUCCCAAGAAGUCUUCUCACAUAUUCUCGCCUAAAUUUUAGUAGAAUUUUAGUUUUCCACCUAAAGCGAAGUCGUCCAGAAGUCUUCUCAUGUAUUUGAUUUUAGGGUCUAGAAUACUUCCUUGGAAGUCUUCUUAUCGAAAAUAUUUAACCUAACUGGAAUAUUUGUCUCCAUAUAUAAAGAAAAUUUACACAUUCUCUUUCUUCCUCUCAAAUAGCUGCAACACAAAUAUAAUGUUUCUCACGUUGAACAUCAAAACAUCAAACUUUAAAUCCAUUUCUCAUUUUUUUCUUAUGUCUUCUCACUAAUUUAUUUUCUUUUUGUAGAUUUUUCAUUACAUGGUUCUCAUCUUUCACUCCUUCAAAGGUAGAUCUAUAAAUUUUGGAUAUGUAUUAUUGUGUCUUUUAUAUAUUAGAUUCCAAAAUGCUAUAGAUUCAACUUAAUGUGACUGUUUUAUUUAUUAUUUAAGCAUAAAAUUAUAUUUUUGAAACUUUUCUCUAUUUUGAAGUCAUUUGAAUGUUUUUGAAUUUGCUGAUUUUUCAGAUCUGAGACAGACUUUGAAAGAUUUCUCAGA